rfam:Schistosoma haematobium scaffold503_11, whole genome shotgun sequence.
AGCUUUCUGAAUCCAUGCAGAAAUUUCAUCAGACACCAACCAAUUAGGGCUGAUCAGACUUCAAGAUAAUUGAGGUU